AUUGAACGCUGGCGGCAGGCCUAACACAUGCAAGUCGAGCGGAUGAAGGGAGCUUGCUCCUGGAUUCAGCGGCGGACGGGUGAGUAAUGCCUAGGAAUCUGCCUGGUAGUGGGGGAUAACGUCCGGAAACGGGCGCUAAUACCGCAUACGUCCUGAGGGAGAAAGUGGGGGAUCUUCGGACCUCACGCUAUCAGAUGAGCCUAGGUCGGAUUAGCUAGUUGGUGGGGUAAAGGCCUACCAAGGCGACGAUCCGUAACUGGUCUGAGAGGAUGAUCAGUCACCCUGGAACUGAGCCACGGUCCAGACUCCUCCGGGAGGCAGCAGUGGGGAAUAUUGGACAAUGGGCGAAAGCCUGCUCCAGCCCUGCCGCGUGUGUGAAGAAGGUCUUCGGAUUGUAAAGCACUUUAAGUUGGGAGGAAGGGCAGUAAGUUAAUACCUUGCUGUUUUGACGUUACCAACAGAAUAAGCACCGGCUAACUUCGUG
rnacentral:rRNA from 1 species